rnacentral:sRNA from 1 species
AAAAUAUAUGUACUUCCUGCAACAUUCACGCCUCUUUCGGGCUUUUGGACCACAUUUUUGUCCGACGGUCCGUCUACUACAUACAUGAGGCUUCAAAUAUUUCCCUACCAAUCCUACAAAUCACCACAUGAUUUUUUUCUGUGUUUUGUCCUCGUUCAUACGGUUUCGAUAAUCAUUUCCCGAAAGGACAUCCAUCCUGAAAUUAUUUUCGAUCAAACUUCCUUAACUGUAGAGUUCUCUCGGAACGUUUGACCGAAAAAAAAUUACAUUUUUGUGACAUAAAUAAGCAAAUCAGUUAUUUUAAACUUCUCUACAUGUACCACCAUAUUUCCAAAAUCCGGUGUUACAAUUUUUAUAUGCACCAUACCAAUGUUGAAGAAUCUUAUCCCUAACACUCAAUAUCACAAUGAACGGCUCUACAU